UAUGGGAAUCACUGGUUAAUCAGAAGCACUAUAGCCAAGAGUGCUUCUCUUGGAGAAGGAAACACAGAAACUCUGUUCCUUUCCAGUGCUGUGACUUGGUCAAGUGACUCACCCCUCUGUGCCUUUGUUUCCUCAUCUGGGUCUUGGUGAGGCUUAGAGUGAGGACUGUUGGAAAGCAUUAGGACAGAUGUAUAAGGAGCAUAUACACGCUUUUAUACAAAUCUUCAGUUAACAGUCGUGGAAAGGACUCAAGCUCUACUCCAUCUCCACCUCCUUGGGUUUGGGUAAAUUCUCAGCAGGAUUGUGCAUUAGGAGAGCUGGGAAGCAAUUUGGCAAUGAAGACUUUAAAUAUCUCAAGAAUACCAUGAAACAGGGCCAGUUGCAGGUUGAGUCCUGUGUCUGGGCCCUAAUUUCCUUGUGACUGGGCUCCUGGUGAUCAUGCAGUUGUCUUCUGGAUGAAAGGAGCUGUCUGCGGAGAGAUCUCAGUGGCCACCUGAAGAUAAAGGGAAGAGAGUCUUCAGGGCCCCAACCCAACUUCAACCAGAGUACCUUUUCUUUCAUUAAUUUGAUGGGCUUUUUCUUAAUUAAAAAAAACUUUUAAUUGUUGU